rnacentral:rRNA from 1 species
AGUUUGACUGGGGCGGUCUCCUCCCAAAGAGUAACGGAGGAGCACGAAGGUGGGCUAAUCACGGUUGGACAUCGUGAGGUUAGUGCAAUGGCAUAAGCCCGCUUAACUGCGAGAAUGACGGUUCGAGCAGGUGCGAAAGCAGGUCAUAGUGAUCCGGUGGUUCUGUAUGGAAGGGCCAUCGCUCAACGGAUAAAAGGUACUCCGGGGAUAACAGGCUGAUACCGCCCAAGAGUUCAUAUCGACGGCGGUGUUUGGCACCUCGAUGUCGGCUCAUCACAUCCUGGGGCUGAAGUCGGUCCCAAGGGUAUGGCUGUUCGCCAUUUAAAGUGGUACGCGAGCUGGGUUUAGAACGUCGUGAGACAGUUCGGUCCCUAUCUGCCGUGGGCGUUGGAAGAUUGAAGGGGGCUGCUCCUAGUACGAGAGGACCGGAGUGGACGAACCUCUGGUGUUCGGGUUGUGUCGCCAGACGCAUUGCCCGGUAGCUAAGUUCGGAAUUGAUAAGCGCUGAAAGCAUCUAAGCGCGAAGCGAGC